UACGGAGGGGGCUAGCGUUGUUCGGAAUUACUGGGCGUAAAGCGUCCGUAGGCGGCUUGCCAAGUCAGAGGUGAAAUCCCACGACUCAAUCGUGGAACUGCCUUUGAGACUGGUUCGCUUGAAGAUGGGAGAGGUUAGUGGAAUUCCGAGUGUAGAGGUGAAAUUCGUAGAUAUUCGGAAGAACACCAGUGGCGAAGGCGGCUAACUGGACCAUUCUUGACGCUGAGGGACGAAAGCGUGGGGAGCAAACAGG
rnacentral:rRNA from 1 species